GGGGCGGUAGCUCAGCGGGUUAGAGCAGGGGACUCAUAAUCCCUCGGUCACGGGUUCGAGUCCCGUCCGCCCCACCA
rnacentral:tRNA from 1 species